rnacentral:rRNA from 1 species
CACGUAGGGCGCAAGCGUUGUCCGGAAUUAUUGGGCGUAAAGAGCUCGUAGGCGGUCUGUUGCGUCCGCUGUGAAAACUCGGGGCUUAACCCCGAGCCUGCAGUGGAUACGGGCAGACUAGAGGUAGGUAGGGGAGAAUGGAAUUCCCGGUGUAGCGGUGAAAUGCGCAGAUAUCGGGAGGAACACCGGUGGCGAAGGCGGUUCUCUGGGCCUUACCUGACGCUGAGGAGCGAAAGCGUGGGGAGCGAACAGGAUUAGAAACCCGGUAGUAC